rnacentral:lncRNA from 1 species
CUCAGACAGGCAGGCGCUGAGGCCAUGGUCAGGAUCACUGUUUCUGACGUGUACCACCUGCAGGGCCGGAGGGCUCCACGUUCAUCCCCUACUCAGCUCUGCGGCCUUGAGCAAGUGAAAGAACCUCUCCGAGCCUCAAUAUGCUCCUCCUAAAGUGAGGAGUGGGGCAGUGAUAGAUCGCCCUCUGAGAGGUGUUGGACCAG